rnacentral:lncRNA from 13 species
UGUAGCCAUGUUCUUGUUAUUAUUCUUACUACUGUCGCAUAAAUUGUUCAUUGUGCUCCUUUCUUAAAACUUUAUGUUCCAAGUUUCAGUCUACUUGGAACUAGGAAAAGGUUUCUCUUCUAUUGAGUUGUGGUAAUUUUACAAGCAACCCUCUGUGCAAAAGUCCAUUUUUGGAAUCACAGUUCCAAGUUCUGCUCUAGGAAUAGACCCACUGAGUUCAGGUCCUGCUCUGUUUCUUAGAAAUCAUGUAAAUUAUUUAAUUGCGUUAAACUCUCCUUCUCAUAUCUGGAUUAAGUGAGAUAAUGCAUGUUGAACAUUUAAUAGAUGCAAACACUCAAAAAACAGAACCUAACACAAUUACAUUUGGUGAACAAUUAUUUCCUUAGUUUAGGCUUUGUAUCAUUGUUAGUCUCACUUACCCAUGCCUUUUGGGGAACAGACAUUUCUUUUUACUUUUUGAAAUAAUCACUAACAGUAUUUGUCAGGACUGGCUGGGAUAUGCCCGAAAUCCCCUCAAAUUUCUGUGAUUUAGUAGAAUCAACAAAUGCCUGAGCAGUUUGGCAGGGGCGUUGGCAGUUAGACUCCUUCAGAAGUCCCGGUGAAGGUGAGUUCCAACCCCUCAUCCUUGGGAGUACACGCCGUCCUCAGUAGAAGUGUCAGGGGAGCAGAGAACCCAGCCUCACUCAUGGGAUUUUCACUGCCUGCACUAGGACGUGGCACAGGUCACCUUCCUUCCUAUUUCAUUAGCUCAUACGAGUCACACAGCGUCAGUCAGCUUAUACCAGCAUCCGUCAGCAGCCCAGGGCUGAGAGCAGAGUCCUCCGCACGCCCACGAGGAAAGCUGGAACACGAUAUCCCUCUGUCACCAGGGUGGAACACAAUGGCAUGAUCUUAGCUCACUGCAGUCUUGAACCCUUGGGCUCAGGAGAUUCUCUCACCUCAGCCUCCAAAAGCUCUGGGAUGACAGGUAUGGACUACUUUGCCCAGCCUUGAUUUUAGAUAAAAAGGCUAAUGAAUUUAUUGUAAACUACAAAAGACAUCAUCAACACGUUGACAGGAAAUGCAGAGAGCUGAAAGGAUGCACUGAAUAUUUGCUAUUGUGGAUGAGGCUGCUGGAGCACUGGGGAUCCAUUCAUCAGGCCGAACUGUAGCUCAGUGACUCACUUCUAUGGAAGAUGUGUGCUCUCCAAUCGUGGCUGCCAGUGGCUGUGGAAUUCCAUCCUGAAGCACCUUGUUCUUCUGUCGCCAUCAUUCUGGAAAAGGCACAACCCACAUUCCCCAUUUUACUAACUCUAAAGCAGAAAUGUUAUGCCUUUGUCUAUAAUUAAAAUUGUAGUCAUUUUCAAAAUAAAAUAUUGCUAAAUUUUGAUGUUAGAGGCA